GGAUAGAAUUAACCCCUUGGGUCUCAGAUUAGGUACAUCUCAGAUUAGGACUGUGGCUGACAAAAGCUGAUACUGACACUGGAGACAAAAGAGCUUCUUGAGGAACACAUGUCAUUCUUACGCAGCUCUCGAACAAUUGACUGUGAUCUUGAGAUGAGGUGACUCGAGCCUUCUGUGGACUGGAGAAGUUCACUAUCUCCCAGCCAAUUCAAAAUGUCUGGAUUCUGAGAUACGGAUCUUGCUCUGUCACCCGGCUGGAGUGGUGCGGUGGUACAACAUGAUUCCCUGCGGCUUGGACUCCUGGACUGAAACAAUCCUCCCACUGCAGUAUCCUGAGCAGCUGAGACUACUGGCCCACACCACCAUACUUAGCUAAUUUGUUAAUUAUUUUUGUAGAAAUAAGGACUUGCUUUGUUGCCUAGGCUGGUCUCAAACUCCUGGACCCAAGCAGUCCUACCAAUGCUUAAAUGAAAAUGAUGCUUUGAGGGUGACACAUUGUUUAAUGUUUUGUUUGAUUUCAAAUAUUUUCAAAGUAUCGUUUUCAACUAUGGCUCAUGGCAAAUACUCUUUUCUCCUUGAGAAGUAAUUUGGUUAAAGAGAUCUCUGAGGGCUAAUAUGUGAAGUUACACACUAUUUCUAACACUGACUUGUGAGGCAAAAGCUUUCUCAGGUCAUCCCUUAAUUAAUUCAUGCAUGAAGCUUUGAAAUAUAACUUGUUUUUUAAAAAACUGAGAUUACUUUUAGAGGAGAAGACAAGUUAAAAGUAGGUAAUGUAAUUUUAAAAUAGUACAAUUGUUUUUUUGAGAUUGAUAAAAUUUGGUUCUAUUCAAA
rnacentral:lncRNA from 13 species